UACGGAGGGUGCAAGCGUUAUCCGGAUUCACUGGGUUUAAAGGGUGCGUAGGUGGGUUGGUAAGUCAGUGGUGAAAUCCCCGAGCUUAACUUGGGAACUGCCAUUGAUACUAUCAGUCUUGAAUACCGUGGAGGUCAGCGGAAUAUGUCAUGUUGCGGUGAAAUGCUUAGAUAUGACAUAGAACACCAAUUGCGAAGGCAGCUGGCUACUCGGAUAUUGACACUGAGGCACGAAAGCGUGGGGAUCAAACAGG
rnacentral:rRNA from 1 species